AUGCGCUUCCCCUAGUGCAGAUCGCGGGAGAACCCAAUCAAGGGGCGAGCUGGACCCAGCUCUGAUCAUUUAUAAUCCUUGACUCCUCCGCUCCGCCACUUGUCAAGAUGACAGGUUGCCAUCUAGGAAGCCGCAACAAAGAGAGCUAAUCCCGGGCCCCAGCCAGAAGAGGCCAGAGCGGGAAGAGCUAAAUUGCUGAUAAAACAGAACUCGUUCGCCCGGGCCCUGUGCGCUCCGCGUUCUGCGUGGCGGAGGGACAGAGCGUGCAGGGGUCCUCCACUGCCCCCCAGGUCUGCAGAGCGCGCAGCCCGACACCCAGGAAGUUAAGUUGGGGGUUGGUGGCUUUUGGUUUGGUUUGGUUUUGUGCCGCUCCUGAACAAAGAAAUUCCAUCGUCCGAGGCCAUGAGAAAAAGCUGAUGCUGUGCAGCGCCAAAGUGUACCAUGCGCUUCGUCCUCCGAAUGAAUCCCUGGAAAGCAGCGAGGCCGAGCGCUAUGUGACCAAGGAGCUGUUCGCCUGGCGGAGCGGCUGUCAGGGAGCUCGGGCAGGGCGGCUAGCUCGCCUCGCCCUGGGCAGCAAUAAAAACUGAGCAGGAGAAGAAAUGCAAAACGUUGGUGUCUGCUUCUGCAAACCUCUGGCCCCUCCCAGCCAACUCUGGUGACUUUGCCACGUUAGCGCUGCGGAUUGUGCAUGGGAUAAUGGGCCUGAGGUGGUGGCAUCGCCCUCCCAUGGGGCCCUCUGGUCACACAGUUCCACAACUCGCCCAAAAGAAAAUGUUGUGGAGCUCUUCUCGGCCUCACCCCCCGCCCCCCUUGCCCUUGGAGAUACUCAUUCCUCUGCUUUUGCAAA